AGAGUUUGAUCCUGGCUCAGGAUAAACGCUGGCGGCGCACAUAAGACAUGCAAGUCGAACGGACGAAGUUCAUUCUUAACGAUUGAACCAAGUUAGUGGCGGACUGGUGAGUAACACGUAAGCAACCUAGCUAUAAGAGGGGAAUAACAGUGAGAAAUCAUUGCUAAUACCGCAUAAGCUCACAGUAGCACAUGCUAUAGUGAGAAAAGGAGUAAUCCGCUUAUAGAUGGGCUUGCGUCUGAUUAGCUAGUUGGUGUGGUAAAGGCAUACCAAGGCGACGAUCAGUAGCCGGACUGAGAGGUUGAACGGCCACAUUGGGACUGAGAUACGGCCCAGACUCCUACGGGAGGCAGCAGUCGGGAAUAUUGCGCAAUGGAGGGAACUCUGACGCAGUGACGCCGCGUAUAGGAAGAAGUUUUUCGGAAUGUAAACUAUUGUCAUUAGGGAAGAGGAAGGACGGUACCUAAGGAGGAAGCCCCGGCUAACUAUGUGCCAGCAGCCGCGGUAAUACAUAGGGGGCGAGCGUUAUCCGGAAUUAUUGGGUGUAAAGGGUGCGUAGACGGGAAAUUAAGUUAGUUGUGAAAACCCUAGGCUUAACUUAGGAAUUGCAACUAAAACUGAUAUUCUUGAGUACUGGAGAGGAAAGUGGAAUUCCUAGUGUAGCGGUGAAAUGCGUAGAUAUUAGGAGGAACACCAGUGGCGAAGGCGACUUUCUGGACAGAGUCUGACGUUGAGGCACGAAAGCGUGGGGAGCAAACAGGAUAGAUACCCUAGUAGUCCACGCUGUAAACGAUGGAUAC
rnacentral:rRNA from 1 species